GUUAAAAAGCUCGUAGUUGGAUCAAGAGUUCCACAGUGCACGGUGGCCCUGGUUGUCGAGGUGGAUCCGUUCACCGAGACGCCAGUGGAUCAACCCUGUGCGCCAAACUGUGGUCUCUAAUCGACCGAAGCGGUUCCCUGUGAGUAGGCUCCUUCAUUGGGGCUGAAAGCGAUUACGCAUCAACCAUAUGCAUACGGGACGUCGGUCAAUGUUACUGUGAACAAACCAGCGUGUCCAAAACAGGCUUUCGCCUGAAUGUUCGAGCAUGGAAUAACAAGGGAUCGAUUCUCUCGGUUCUUUUUGUUGGUUUUUAACCCGAAAA
rnacentral:rRNA from 1 species